AUUCACCACCCAUCUGUGAACCUCUUUGGCCUUGCGUCGGUUUCGGCUGGCGGAAGGAUUUUACACAUACUCCGAAUGUAAUGAAAAUAUUAUUGUGCACAAGCACUAAUGUACAACUUUCAACAACGGAUCUCUUGGCUCUCGCAUCGAUGAAGAACGCAGCGAAAUGCGAUAAGUAAUGUGAAUUGCAGAAUUCAGUGAAUCAUCGAAUCUUUGAACGCACCUUGCACCCUUUGGUAUUCCGAAGGGUAUGCUCGUUUGAGUGUCAUUGUACUCUCACACUCUCCGAUUUCAGAUCGGGAGUAGGUGGACUUGGAUGUUGCUGCUUUGUUGUCAGGCUCAUCUCAAAUGUCUUAGUGCAACUCUACUUGGAUAUAGUACAGCGUGAUAAGUAUCUUCGCUGGCCACUCAUGAGAGGAUGUCCAAUUCGGAGCUCUGUGCUUCAAACUGUCCUUCGGACAAUCUCCGACAACUUGACCUCAAAUCGAGUAGGACUACCCGCUGAACUUAA
rnacentral:rRNA from 1 species